GCCGACGUAGCCCAAUGGCAGAGGCACGGCGCUUAGGACGCCGCCAGUGAGAGUUCGAGUCUCUCCGUCGGCACUA
rnacentral:tRNA from 2 species